rnacentral:rRNA from 1 species
UACAGAGGGUGCGAGCGUUGUUCGGAAUUAUUGGGCGUAAAGGGCGCGUAGGCGGCCACGCACGUCCGUUGUGAAAUCGCCCGGCUCAACUGGGCGGGGUCAGCGGAUACGGUGUGGCUCGAGCAAGCUAGGGGGCAAUGGAAUUCCCGGUGUAGUGGUGGAAUGCGUAGAUAUCGGGAGGAACACCAGUGGCGAAGGCGGUUGCCUGGAGCUUUGCUGACGCUGAGGCGCGAAAGCGUGGGGAGCGAGUCCGG